rnacentral:tRNA from 1 species
AAGAUUAAUUUAAACAAAAUAUUAGUUUUGGAUACUAAAAUUCGCCUAUAA